rnacentral:tRNA from 1 species
GCCAGAGUAGCUCAGUGGUAGAGCGCUCGUUUCAUAAGCGAGUUGUCAUGGGUUCAAUUCCCAUCUUUGGCA